GAUGAAGAACGUAGCGAAAUGCGAUAAGUAAUGUGAAUUGCAGAAUUCAGUGAAUCAUCGAAUCUUUGAACGCACAUUGCGCCCCCUGGUAUUCCGGGGGGCAUGCCUGUUCGAGCGUCAUUACAACCCUCAAGCCCUGCUUGGUGUUGGGCCCCGCCGCCCCGGCGGGCCCUAAAAUCAGUGGCGGUGCCGUCCGGCUCCGAGCGUAGUAAUUCUUCUCGCUCUGGAGGUCCGGGUGUGUGCUCGCCAGCAACCCCCAAUUUUUUUCAGGUUGACCUCGGAUCAGGUAGGGAUACCCGCUGAACUUAAGCAUAUCAAUAAGCGGAGGA
rnacentral:misc_RNA from 1 species